CGAAUGCUGAUAAAUAUACCGCACAGUGAGGGUUGGGGUGCUAAGGUCCCAAUCCGAGAGGGAAAGAACCCAGACCUACAGCUAAGGUCCCAAAAUCUAUGCUAAGUUGAACUAAGGAGGUCCAGUUGCUUAGACAGCCAGGAUGUUGGCUUGGAAGCAGCCAUUCAUUUAAAGAGUGCGUAACAGCUCACUGGUCGAGCGACAGGGCAUCGAUAAUAAUCGGGCAUCAAGCAUAUCACCGAAGCUCAGAAUUGUCACGACUUGUCGUGGCAGUGGUAGGGGAGCAUUCUAUAGGCGCCGAAGUUGUGACGUGAGUCAUGGUGGAGCGUAUAGAAAAGCAAAUGUAGGCAUAAGUAACGAUAAAGCGGGCGAGAAACCCGCUCACCGAUAGACUAAGGUUUCCUGAACAACGCUAAUCGGUUCAGGGUUAGUCGGGUCCUAAGGGGUAGCCGAAUGGCGAACCCGAUGGCAAACAGGUUAAUAUUCCUGUACUAGUUAUAACUGCGAUGGAGUGACGAGGGAGUGACAAGUCUGCGUGUAGACGAAAUGACACGUUAAAUUCUUAAGGUAUAAGAUUUGGAGUUAAAUGCCCAUAUCUUGCUGACGGGAGAUAGUACUGUGAAACUUCUAGUGGAACAGAUAAUGACUGUAAUGACCUCCAAGAAAACCUUCUAAGCUUAGGUUAUA
rnacentral:rRNA from 1 species